GUAUAGGUUUAAUGACUGCUUGCGCAAUCGUUAAAAGACAUUCUGUAACUUUAUAGUGUAUAUGAAAACAUAGCCCUCCAAAGAAGCAAACGAAGGGGAAGGGCUCACGCCCAAGUCCCCCAAACCGCAUUGCUGCGAGAGUUAUCACUUGCUCUGAAAGACUACAAAAGGUGCACAAGAGAAGAUAAAUAGUUAUGGAUCGAGCACAUGCUCAGUGAAGAGCCAGCAUCAGAACCAAACGUAUUCAAUAAUGAUCCUUCCGCAGGUUCACCUACGGAAA
rnacentral:misc_RNA from 1 species